UGCCCCAGUGAUUUUAAUGGAUAUGUUUUUUUUCCAGCAAAAAUGGUGAUAUGUGUAUGUGUUUUUGUAUGUUUAUUUAGUGCAAGUACUAAUUUUUACAAAAAAUUGUUAACAAUGCACAUCUGGUCUGGCUUGGCACUAAAAGACCUACAGUACAGUUGGGAUUAACAGCCAUCCUCCAUUGUGUAAUGAAGGGUGUUACCACUACAAGGCACUACCCAUUAUGCUCAAGGUGUCAACAUUUCAUGAGAUUUAAUAGAAGAAAAGUCAAGUUACUAAGACUAUUUAAGGAGAUAUCCUUUUAUAGGCAUACAAGUAUUUGAUGGGAGAUGCUUGAACUGAGUUCGCGCGAGAUGUCAUUUACUAUGUAAACGGUGGUUGGUGCACGAUAGAGUCACUUGAGAAGGGGGGCGUGUCCUCCAAAACGUCAGAAGUGUGCGGCAACUCACCUGUCUACCCCUUCGUGAGAGGAAGGAAGGAAGAUCAGCCUCUGUGAUGCCCGCGAAAGUGUGAAAUUUAUCCAGCCAGCUGAACUAGGACUGUCGGACGUAUCUAGUGAGCACUCUGGGUGAUAAACUUUUUGUAUUUAUUGCUGAAUAUGAAAUUGGUGGUCUGCGGAUCGAUUUUUGUACCAUG